rnacentral:lncRNA from 1 species
AGUUUGGGUAGAGAUGUAGCAUCAAACAUUCACGGAUGUCCAGGGAGCACGGGCACACAGGCUGCUGGCCAGAGGUACUAGGAAGGUACAGGCGGGAGUUCGACGAGGACGCACCUUCCCCUGUCUUGGAAAGGUAGACUUGGGGAGGGCGGGAGCGGGUAGUUAUCCUAGAAAUGAAUAUUACCCGUCAUAGGAAUAAACCAACCAAAUACAAGGUGUGGCUAUAGACUCUAUAUAGAGCAAAAGAGGUGUUAUUUCUGGGGUUAGAGUGUCAAAAUCCAUCAGGACAAAGGCAGUCGGUGUCAUUUUCUUCCUUUUUAACCUUAAAGGGGGGGGGGAACCUGUCUGUUUUCCAGGUUUGGUUCCCCACCCCCCCUUGUGAGGAUGAGAAGGGGACAUAAAGUCCCCUUUUGAUUUCUGGGUCAGGAAACUCAUUGGAAAGAGUUUGUUAAGAUCUAGGAGGAUUCAAUUAGUAGAACAGGUCUAAUACAAGUGAUGGCUUUUAUUAAUUAGGAUCCAACUAUGUUUUUCUUUGCAGUGAAGCUUUUAAAACGUCAUAAUAAUUAAACAGUAGUCCUAGAUCAGUCUUUCUCUUUAUCAGGGACAUCUCAUAUGUAUACCUUUCUUUGCCUUUGCCUUUUUUUUUUCUUCCCUUUUUCUUUCCUUAAAAUAAUUUCUCCUGAUAUCUCCUUUCAGUCUGUUUUAGCCAGAAGCCCAGCCUUAGCCUCCAUUGGCCCCUGAACCAGUAUGCCAUGUUCUUAGUUUUUUAGCUGUCUAGUUCUGACCUUACCUCUCCCAGUCCACUAAGCUCCUUGACCCCGUCCAUAAACCAACAUGUUUGAGCUGCUCUCCAGGCUGUAUUCAUGGACUCUGUUAGAGGCUCAGUGCUUACCUCUGCCUUUCAGAGGACACAUCCGAUCAGAAUGAGCAGUCCAUGAGGAAAACCACAUCCCUGGAAGGAGGAAGCUAGUCUCAGAAACAGGUCUUCAUCUUGAGUGUGAGCCAAGCAGGGAUUUGGAUGGUCCCCGGACAGGGGUGUCAUAGAUAAAGAUUCAGAUAGCACGUGACUGUGAAAACAGGCUUGGAAACUUGGGCUUGGCAUGGUGGAGCACACCUGUAAUCUGAGCACUUGGGAGCUGGAGGCAGGAGGAUCAGGAGUUCAAGGCCUGCUUAGGAUACUGAGAGACUUUGCAGUCAGCCUGGGCUGCAUAUAACCCUCCCUACCUCGAAUAUACCAACAAGCGUACAAACAAAGGAGGUCAUAAAUAAAACCCCACUGGACAUGGUGGUGUACAGCUUUAAUCCCAGUACUCGUGAGGCAGAGGCAGAUGGAUCUCUAUGAGUCCCAGGUCAAAAAUAAAUGCAUUACUACUAA